GACAGGGUACUCAUCCAUGUCAACAUAGUUCUUGUUCAUGGCGUCCAUCAUAAGCUUAUCACAUUCAGGCUCCAUCCAAGUAGUCACAAAGGAAGCCAAGUUCAGCCUCGGCUUUCCAUCCAGCAUCAGCUCAUCGUUUAUGAUCUGGAAUGCAGCCUCCUUAGGUAUCGAGUUCUCCGGCAUCUUGUACCUUGGAAGUGAUUCCCGGACAUAGCGAGAGGCGAAGGUGGAGUGAACGGAGACAUCAGACUCUGAAGCAAUUUUUGAGAGCACCAUGGUUAUGUCUGGUGACAAAGAAAAAAGAACAGCUAGAAAUGGGAAAUGCAAAGAACAAGAAGGUGAAUUUGGUUUGCUUGGAGAAGAGGGUGGAAGCCAGUGGUGGGUAUUUAUAGUGGGGGAGGGUUCAUGGUGGACCACACCUUCUGCAAAUGAAAAGUGGAGAAAUCUCCCUUUUUCUUUAUUAAUUAUUGCAUUUUGUAAAUCAGGACGUGUGAGAACGAGGAAGGAACGCGAAAAGAAAACGCA
rnacentral:misc_RNA from 1 species